CAGGUAGUCACGAGUUUGAUCAUGGCUCAGAACGAACGCUGGCGGCAUGCCUAACACAUGCAAGUCGAACGAGACCUUCGGGUCUAGUGGCGCACGGGUGCGUAACACGUGGGAAUUUGCCUCGGGGUAUGGAAUAACUCAGGGAAACUUGAGCUAAUACCAUAUAAUGUCUUCGGACCAAAGAUUUAUCGCCCUGAGAUAAGCCCGCGUAGGAUUAGCUAGUUGGUGGGGUAAAGGCUCACCAAGGCGACGAUCCUUAGCUGGUCUGAGAGGAUGAUCAGCCACACUGGGACUGAGACACGGCCCAGACUCCUACGGGAGGCAGCAGUGGGGAAUAUUAGACAAUGGGCGAAAGCCUGAUCCAGCAAUGCCGCGUGAGUGAUGAAGGCCUUCGGGUUGUAAAGCUCUUUACUCGGGACGAUAAUGACGGUACCGAGAGAAUAAGCCCCGGCUAACUCCGUG
rnacentral:rRNA from 1 species